GGACCUACGGGACGCAGCAGUGGGGAAUAUUGCGCAAUGGGCGAAAGACUGAUGCAGCGACGCCGCGUGGGUGAAGGAGCGUUUCGGCGCGUAAAGCCCUAUCGGCAGGGAAGAAGGAGGACGGUACCUGACUAAGAAGCCCCGGCUAACUACGUGCCAGCAGCCGCGGGAAUACGUAGGGAGCGAGCGGUAUCCGGAAUUAUUGGGUGUAAAGGGGGCGUAGACGGGAAAACAAGAUAGUUGUGAAAUCC
rnacentral:rRNA from 1 species